UGCACUCACUACUGUAAGUCGCUCUGGAUAAGAGGGUCUGCUAAAUUACUUCAA
rfam:Salmo salar isolate Sally breed double haploid chromosome ssa01, whole genome shotgun sequence.